rnacentral:rRNA from 1 species
GGAGAAAAGCAGGGGAUCGCAAGACCUUGCGCUUUUGGAGCGGCCGAUGUCUGAUUAGCUUGUUGGUAAGGUAAAAGCUUACCAAGGCUUCGAUCAGUAGCUGGUCUGAGAGGACGACCAGCCACACUGGGACUGAGACACGGCCCAGACUCCUACGGGAGGCAGCAGUGGGGAAUUUUGGACAAUGGGGGCAACCCUGAUCCAGCCAUGCCGCGUGAGUGAAGAAGGCCUUCGGGUUGUAAAGCUCUUUCAGCCGGAACGAAACGGUUACGGUUAAUACCCGUGACUACUGACGGUACCGGAAGAAGAAGCACCGGCUAACUACGUGCCAGCAGCCGCGGUAAUACGUAGGGUGCGAGCGUUAAUCGGGAUUACUGGGCGUAAAGCGUGCGCAGGUGGUUUUGUAAGUCAGAUGUGAAAUCCCCGGGCUCAACCUGGGAACUGCGUUUGAAACUACAAAGCUAG